rnacentral:rRNA from 1 species
GAGUUUGCUCCUGGCUCAGGACGAACGCUGGCGGCGUGCUUAACACAUGCAAGUCGAACGGAGCACCCCUGAAGGAGUUUUCGGACAACGGAUGGGAAUGCUUAGUGGCGGACUGGUGAGUAACGCGUGAGGAACCUGCCUUCCAGAGGGGGACAACAGUUGGAAACGACUGCUAAUACCGCAUGAUGCGUUGGAGCCGCAUGACUCCGACGUCAAAGAUUUAUCGCUGGAAGAUGGCCUCGCGUCUGAUUAGCUAGUUGGUGAGGUAACGGCCCACCAAGGCGACGAUCAGUAGCCGGACUGAGAGGUUGGCCGGCCACAUUGGGAGUGAGAUACGGCCCAGACUCCUACGGGAGGCAGCAGUGGGGAAUAUUGGGCAAUGGACGCAAGCCUGACCCAGCAACGCCGCGUGAAGGAAGAAGGCUUUCGGGUUGUAAACUUCUUUUAAGGGGGAAGAGCAGAAGACGGUACCCCUUGAAUAAGCCACGGCUAACUACGUGCCAGCAGCCGCGGUAAUACGUAGGUGGCAAGCGUUGUCCGGAUUUACUGGGUGUAAAGGGCGUGCAGCCGGAGAGACAGGUCAGAUGUGAAAUCCACGGGCUCAACCCGUGAACUGCAUUUGAAACUGUUUCCCUUGAGUGUCGGAGAGGUAAUCGGAAUUCCUUGUGUAGCGGUGAAAUGCGUAGAUAUAAGGAAGAACACCAGUGGCGAAGGCGGAUUACUGGACGAUAACU